GACGAACGCUGGCGGCGUGCUUAACACAUGCAAGUCGAACGGAAAGGCCUGCUUUCCCUUGUGGAUUGCGGGUACUCGAGUGGCGAACGGGUGAGUAACACGUGAGUGAUCUGCCCCCAACUUGGGUAUAAGCCUGGGAAACUGGGUCUAAUUCCCGAUAGGACUGCAGGGUGGUGCCUGUGGUGGAAAACGAUUUUCUAGUGGUUGGGGAUGAGCUCGCGGCCUAUCAGCUUGUUGGUGGGGUAAUGGCCUACCAAGGCGGCGACGGGUAGCCGGCCUGAGAGGGUGGACGGCCACAUUGGGACUGAGAUACGGCCCAGACUCCUACGGGAGGCAGCAGUGGGGGAUAGUGCACAAUGGGCGGAAGCCUGAUGCAGCGACGCCGCGUGGGGGAUGACGGCCUUCGGGUUGUAAACUCCUUUCGACCGCGAGGAAGCCACCUGGUUGGAAGGGUGGUGACGGUAGUGGUAGAAGAAGCACCGGCUAACUACGUG
rnacentral:rRNA from 1 species